GGACCGAACGCACAUCCGUUGAAAAGGGUGGCGAUGAGGUGUGGAUAGGGGAGAAAUUCCAAUCGAACCCGGAGAUAGCUGGUUCUCCUCGAAAUAGCUUUAGGGCUAGCCUCGUAUUAGUCUAGUGGAGGUAGAGCACUGAAUUUCCUAGGGGGCGUCAAAGCUUACCGAAGAAUAUCAAACUCCGAAUGCCAUAUAGAUGAUGUACGGGAGUCAGACUGCACGAGAUAAGUUGGGCAGUCAAAAGGGAAAGAGCCCAGACCGCCAGCUAAGGUCCCAAAGUGUGUGUUAAGUGGAAAAGGAUGUGGGAUUUCGAAGACAACUAGGAUGUUGGCUCAGAAGCAGCCAUACAUUAAAAGAGUGCGUAAUAGCUCACUAGUCGAGAGGUCCUGCGCCGAAAAUGUCCGGGGCUGAAACACAACACCGAAGCUGCGGAACCCGCAAGGGUUGGUAGAGGAGCAUUCUUAAAGGAACGAAGCAGUACCGUAAGGAGCUGUGGACUUUUAAGAAGAGAGAAUGCCGGAAUGAGUAGCGAGAGUAAGGUGAGAAUCCUUACGGCCGAAUAUCCAAGGUUUCCAGGGUAAAGCUGAUCUGCCCUGGGGAAGUCGGGACCUAAGGCGAGGCCGAGAGGCGUAGCCGAUGGACAACAGGUUGAGAUUCCUGUACUACAGUAUGACAGAACUGUGGGGACGCAGAAGGAGAGCACUACCUGGAAUGGAAUCCAGGGGCAAGCACAGGAGGGGUACGGCUGGAAAAACCGCCGUGCAACCCAAAGGUGUGACGCAUACCGAACUAAAGUAGGGAAAUGUGUGAGCCGGCUGCCGAGAAAAGCCGCUAUUGUUUGUACUGUACCCGUACCGUAAACCGACACAGGUGGAUGAGGAGAGAAUCCUAAGGCCGACGGAAGAAGCAUUGCUAAGGAACUCGGCAAAAUGACCCUGUAACUUCGGGAGAAAGGGUGCCUCGAAAGAGGCCGCAGAGAAUAGGCCCAAGCAACUGUUUAGCAAAAACACAGGUCUAUGCAAAACCGCAAGGUGAAGUAUAUGGGCUGACGCCUGCCCGGUGCUGGAAGGUUAAGGGGAGAUGUCAGGAGACGAAGCAUCGAACUUAAGCCCCAGUAAACGGCGGCCGUAACUAUAACGGUCCUAAGGUAGCGAAAUUCCUUGUCGGGUAAGUUCCGACCCGCACGAAAGGCGUAAUGAUUUGGGCGCUGUCUCGGCAAUGCAUCCGGUGAAAUUGAAGUGCCAGUGAAGAUGCUGGCUACCCGCGCCAGGACGGAAAGACCCCAUGGAGCUUUACUCCAGCUUGAUACUGGGAUUCGGUAUUGUAUGUACAGGAUAGGUGGGAGGCUGAGAAAUGGUGACGCCAGUCGCCAUGGAGCCGCUGUUGGGAUACCACCCUUGCAGUACUGGAUUUCUAACCAGCAGCCGUUAACCGGCUGGGGGACAAUGUCAGGUGGGGAGUUUGACUGGGGCGGUCGCCUCCGAAAGGGUAUCGGAGGCGCUCAAAGGUUCCCUCAGAAUGGUCGGAAACCAUUCGAAGAGUGCAAAGGCAGAAGGGAGCUUGACUGCGACACCGACGGGUGGAGCAGGUACGAAAGUAGGACUUAGUGAUCCGGUGGUAUUAAGUGGGAAUGCCAUCGCUCAACGGAUAAAAGCUACCCU
rnacentral:rRNA from 1 species